AUGCCCAUGCAGUACUAGUCCAUCGAGGGGGCGCAGGAGGUGCUCGGCGACAAGGUGUGUGUCGACCGCCUCGACAGCCGCACUCUGGAGCGCGGCCACACCAAGACCUUCGCGUGCUGGGUCUGGGUGUGGGACAUGGCGUUCAUCCCGACGAGGCACACCUACUGGAAGCUGCCCCGUGGCGCGGGGCGCGUCAAGGAGAUGGACGGCUUCUCGCCGCCAGACCGCCGGGUGGCUCCUCCUCCGGGCGCGACGCGGUUCGAUCUUCUCAUCCACGUCGACCGCAUUGAAGACUGG
rnacentral:rRNA from 1 species